AGAGUUUGAUCCUGGCUCAGGAUGAACGCUGGCGGCGUGCCUAAUACAUGCAAGUCGAACGCUUCACUUCGGUGAAGAGUGGCGAACGGGUGAGUAAUACAUAAGUAACCUGGCAUCUACAGGGGGAUAACUGAUGGAAACGUCAGCUAAGACCGCAUAGGUGUAGAGAUCGCAUGAACUCUAUAUGAAAAGUGCUACGGGACUGGUAGAUGAUGGACUUAUGGCGCAUUAGCUUGUUGGUAGGGUAACGGCCUACCAAGGCGACGAUGCGUAGCCGACCUGAGAGGGUGACCGGCCACACUGGGACUGAGACACCCCAGACUCCUACGGGAGGCAGCAGUAGGGAAUUUUCGGCAAUGGGGGAAACCCUGACCGAGCAACGCCGCGUGAAGGAAGAAGUAAUUCGUUAUGUAAACUUCUGUCAUAGAGGAAGAACGGUGGAUAUAGGGAAUGAUAUCCAAGUGACGGUACUCUAUAAGAAAGCCACGGCUAACUACGUGCCAGCAGCCGCGGUAAUACGUAGGUGGCGAGCGUUAUCCGGAAUUAUUGGGCGUAAAGAGGGAGCAGGCGGCACUAAGGGUCUGUGGUGAAAGAUCGAAGCUUAACUUCGGUAAGCCAUGGAAACCGUAGAGCUAGAGUGUGUGAGAGGAUCGUGGAAUUCCAUGUGUAGCGGUGAAAUGCGUAGAUAUAUGGAGGAACACCAGUGGCGAAGGCGACGAUCUGGCGCAUAACUGACGCUCAGUCCCGAAAGCGUGGGGAGCAAAUAGGAUUAGAUACCCUAGUAGUCCACGCCGUAAACGAUGAGUACUAAGUGUUGGGUGUCAAAGCUCAGUGCUGCAGUUAACGCAAUAAGUACUCCGCCUGAGUAGUACGUUCGCAAGAAUGAAACUCAAAGGAAUUGACGGGGGCCCGCACAAGCGGUGGAGCAUGUGGUUUAAUUCGAAGCAACGCGAAGAACCUUACCAGGUCUUGACAUCGAUCUAAAGGCUCCAGAGAUGGAGAGAUAGCUAUAGAGAAGACAGGUGGUGCAUGGUUGUCGUCAGCUCGUGUCGUGAGAUGUUGGGUUAAGUCCCGCAACGAGCGCAACCCCUGUUGCCAGUUGCCAGCAUUAAGUUGGGGACUCUGGCGAGACUGCCGGUGACAAGCCGGAGGAAGGCGGGGAUGACGUCAAAUCAUCAUGCCCCUUAUGACCUGGGCUACACACGUGCUACAAUGGACAGAGCAGAGGGAAGCGAAGCCGCGAGGUGGAGCGAAACCCAUAAAACUGUUCUCAGUUCGGACUGCAGUCUGCAACUCGACUGCACGAAGAUGGAAUCGCUAGUAAUCGCGAAUCAGCAUGUCGCGGUGAAUACGUUCUCGGGCCUUGUACACACCGCCCGUCACACCAUGAGAGUCGGUAACACCCGAAGCCGGUGGCCUAACCGCAAGGAAGGAGCUGUCUAAGGUGGGACUGAUGAUUGGGGUGAAGUCGUAACAAGGUA
rnacentral:rRNA from 1 species